rnacentral:piRNA from 1 species
GCCGAUAGCCUCUCCUACCUGCUCACUGA